GCCCUCUUAGCUCAGCAGGAUAGAGCAGCCGCCUCCUAAGCGGCAGGUCACUGGUUCGAAUCCAGUAGAGGGCGCCA
rnacentral:tRNA from 1 species